rnacentral:tRNA from 1 species
GCUUAUUUGGUGAAAUUGGUAGACACGAUAGACUUAAACUCUGUUUCUUACGAGUACCGGUUCAAGUCCGGUAAUAAGUA